ACAGCCAUACUAAAUUGAAAACACCGGUUCUCGUCCGAUCACCCAAGUUAAGCAAUGUUGGGCCUGGUCAGUAUUUGGGAGGGUGACCACCUGGGAACACCGGGUACUGUAGGCU